rnacentral:tRNA from 1 species
CAUUAGAUGGCUGAAAGUAAGUAUUGGUCCUUAAACAACUUAUAGUAAUUUAACAUUUACUUCUAAUGA